AAGUUCUCUUUCUCCCUUUACAACCAUUUUCUAGUAAAUGAGUUCCAGAUCUUUUGGCAGACUUCUCCUGAAACUUAGAGAUUAGCCUCUGGUGACGAUAACACGUAUGAAAAACAGAAAUGAACAUCUGUUUGAUCCAUCAGACGUCGAUAACAAAUAGCCAAAUACAGUGAAAAUGGAUCAGUAAGGUGGAUAUUUACUCUGGUAAAAUGCACAGUUAUCAUCUUUCUGAAACAUUUUCUGUUGUUAAGGGUUCAGAACUGAGAAGCCUUUCGGCUUCAUCGUUUGCCUCUGCUUGGAUUUUCCAUUUUUCCUCAAGAUUUUCAAGCUCCAUUAUUUGUUGUAUUUGUUCAGCAAUACUUUCUGCAUUGCCUGCUGCUUCAGCAGCAAGAACAUCUGAAUCCAUCUCUACUUCAAUUUCUAUAA
rnacentral:misc_RNA from 1 species